AGUAGUUUGAUCAUGGCUCGAGGACGAACGCUGGCGGCGUGCUUCAUACAUGCAAGUCGAACGAUAAGGCGCCUUCGGGCGUACAUAAGUGGCGGACGGGUGAGUAAAAUGUAGAGAAUCUGCCCUUGAGAGGGGGACAACGGUUGGAAACGGCCGCUAAUACCCCAUAUGAGCGUACCUGGAAUGGUAUUCUUGAAAACUCCGGUGCUCAGGGAUGAGUCUGCAUCUGAUUAGCUAGUUGGGGGUGUAAUGGACCACCAAGGCGAUGAUCAGUAGCUGGUUUGAGAGGAUGAUCAGCCACAAUGGGACUGAGACACGGCCCAUACUCC
rnacentral:rRNA from 1 species